CCUGCCGGACCCUACUGCUAUCGGGGUGGGACUAAGACAUGCAAGUUGAGCGUCUCUAGGCUAUGGUAGAGACGCGGCGUACGGCUCAGUAACACGUGGCUAACCUACCCUUAGGACGGGGACAACCCCGGGAAACUGGGACUAAUACCCGAUAGAUUAGGAGGCCUGGAAUGGUUCUUAGUCAAAAGGACGUUGAAACCAUGCUUUUUAACGUCGCCUAAGGAUGGGGCCGCGCCCGAUCAGGCUGUUGGUGGGGUAAUGGCUCACCAAACCUAUAACCGGUGCGGGCCGUGAGAGCGGGAGCCCGGAGAUGGGCACUGAGACAAGGGCCCAGGCCCUACGGGGCGCAGCAGUCGCGAAAACUCCGCAAUGCGCGAAAGCGUGACGGGGCUACCCCGAGUGCCGUCCGCUGAGGGUGGCUUUUCCCCGGUGUAAUGAGCCGGGGGAAUAAGGAGAGGGCAAGUCUGGUGUCAGCCGCCGCGGUAAUACCAGCUCUCCGAGUGGUAGGGACGAUUAUUGGGCUUAAAGCGUCUGUAGCCGGCUUAGCAAGUCUCCUGUUAAAUUCAGCGACCUAAUCGUUGAGCCGCGGGAGAUACUACUAGGCUAGGAGGCGGGAGAGGCCGACGGUAUUCUCGGGGUAGGGGUGAAAUCCUAUAAUCCCGGGAGGACCACCAGUGGCGAAGGCUGUCGGCUAGAACGCGCUCGACGGUGAGGGACGAAAGCUGGGGGAGCGAACCGGAUUAGAUACCCGGGUAGUCCCAGCUGUAAACGAUGCGGGCUAGGUGUUGGGGUGGCUACGAGCCACUUCAGUGCCGCAGGGAAGCCAUUAAGCCCGCCGCCUGGGGAGUACGGCCGCAAGGCUGAAACUUAAAGGAAUUGGCGGGGGAGCACCACAA
rnacentral:rRNA from 1 species